CUGAAUUUUCUGGGAUUUCUAUUCUUCUUGUAAAACUUCAUUUGCUCUGAUGCAAAGCAAGCCAGGCAGAGUGAGCUGUGACUCUUUUCUUCCCUCGCUGUCUGCCUUUCUGGCAUCACUUUCUCCCAUAAACUGGACUCUUAAGUGGAGACAGUGCAUCCAAGCAAAAGGCCACUAAGGAUCAGAGGGAAAAAAAUCAGCACAUCAAAGGUACAGGGCAGGGAGCAGCACAUGGGCAGAUCUGUCCUGCAGUAGGUAUGAGAUCAAACAGCUCCAGAAGUGAAGCACAGUUAAAAGCACAGAACAAAAACCACCAAAAGACCAAGAGCAACAAUAGAGUG